rnacentral:rRNA from 1 species
GACGAACGCUGGCGGCGUGCCUAAUACAUGCAAGUAGAACGCAGUUGCGAACGGGUGAGUAACGCGUAGGUAACUGCCUGGUAGCGGGGGAUAACUAUUGGAAACGAUAGCUAAUACCGCAUACUACCAGAUGGACCUGCGUUGUAUUAGCUAGUUGGUGAGGUAACGGCUCAACAAGGCAAUGAUACAUAGCAGACCUGAGAGGGGGGUCGGCCAACCUGGGACUGAGACAAGGCCCAGACUCCUACGGUAGGCAGCAGGAGGGAAUCGUCGUCAAGGGGGGGAACCCUGAACGAGCAACUCCGCGGGAGUGAAGAAGGUUUUCGGAUCGUAAAGCUCUGUUGUUAAGGAAGCGGUACUUAACCAGAAAGGGACGGCUAACUACGUGCCAGCAGCCGCGGGAAUUC